CCGGAGGGUGACUAGCUACUGAAUCAUAGAAUUUCUUUAAAUUCAUGAUGUCGUAAGGGAAAAUAAUGAUAUUACCUUACUAUGAGUGUCGUCCAAAGCUGGUGCCAGAAGACUCGGUAAGACCAGAGACGCAAACGUUAAUCAUCUUAAACAGGCGUAAAGGGUUUGUAGGCAGCUUUCAUAAUAUUAUUUCUUACAAAAAUAAAGAAGUGGUCUGAUUGAAAGCUAGAAUCAAAAAGAGGUUAUAGUGUAUAACGCCUAGAGGAGGGCUGAUAUCCUUAGAUCCUAGGCAGAAUACUUAGGGCGAAGGCCACUCUCCACUAAUGAUUGACGCUGAGAAACGAAGGUAAGGGUAGGAAAUAGGAUUAGAUACCCCGGUACUCCUUUCUGUAAACGAUGAAUGGUAGUCAUUAGUAAAAUUAACUAGAGACGAAGUUAACACAAUAACCAUUCCGCCUUGUGAGUACUACUGCAAAGUAGAAAACAAAAAAAUUAGUCGGUCUCGAAGCAAACGGAGUGAAGCAUGUUAUUUAAUA
rnacentral:rRNA from 1 species